GCCUUCGUGGUGUAGUGGUUAGCACACUGGACGCACAACCGAGAGAUUCGUGGUUCGAAUCCCGGUGAAGGCG
rnacentral:tRNA from 1 species